AUGCUUCCAUAUAAAUCUAUUGUCCACAGUCGGAUCAAUUUAGGAUAAAAGGCUUGCUACAAUAAUUUCUUUUCUUGUCCAUACAUAACUCUUAUAUUUAUUUUGGUUUAUACUAUGGUCUAUGUUUUAGCUUUUUGGAACUGGCUACGAGAUUUCUACUGAUUGUUCACUUUGGAUAUGCUCUAUUUAAAUCUGUUGUCCAUCGAUAGAACAAUUUUGUACUACUCGUCCCACUUGACUUUUUUGAGAAUAGAAUUUUUCUAAAUUAUGGAAUUUAGUAAAGGGUUAUAAUAAACCUUAAGUAUGUAUGUUGGUACCAUAUGAGAUAUAUCGGGCAUUAAGACAACUCCAUUUACAUGACUCAUAAUUUGCGGUUAGGUAUGAUCGAUCGAGUCAGCUGUAAGUGUAAGUUAGUCGUCGUAUAGGUUAUAUUGAGUUUUCUAUUCGAAUAUUGUUGUUAUGGUGUUCUUGUUGACUAUAAUUUGGGGUUUUAUAGAAAUCUACUGAAUCAACUUGAACACAACUUGGUCUUUAGGAUAUAUAUCAGAGUUUGGACGAUGUCCUACGGUAGGUUAGUUUAGAGUAGUGAAGUAUUCGUAGGUUCGUAUUAUAUUUUAGAAAUUUGGUUUGGUCACGCCUGUGUUGGAUCCCACAGCGUGUGAUUUUUUCUCUGUGGAUACUUGUAUGGAGUAUCUAUAUGAGUAUAUAUAUGUAUAUGCAUAAAAAAAAAAAAGAUUGAUCAUAGGAUCAAUUUUUUUUUCUUACAAGUAAUGGGGGAAUGUAACGAUGAGUUACUACUAUCGUUACUAAAAUGUUAUUCCGAUGGGAACUAGGUAUGCAACCAACUUUACAAGCACUCGUAUUAGAGGUUGCAGUUGAUAGACGAUAAAGUUGGUAAUAUCUGGUAGAUUAGAGUCUAGCAGUUGGCAAUGACGAUAUCCGGCAGGGGUGUAUGUCAUAUCGGCCAUAGCGGCUGGCACUUCACUUGAAUUUUCGUUCUUGUCCGAUCAAGAAGUCCUCCGGUGGCCAUUGUAAGAAUUUACCUUUUGGUUGAAAUAAGUUAUAAGAAGAUUAAUUUACGUUGGAGGAAGUUUUUAUUUUUUUUGUUUGGGGUUGUGAAGAGUUUUUGGUUCCAAUAUUUUUUGAAGAAAACAAUGGCCACUGGAGGGAGACUAUAACAAAAUUUAAGUCACAUUUGGAUGCUUCAUUUAUUUAUGGAAUAAACAAUCAUUUUGGUAUUAUUUUGGGUUUGGAUUGGAAGAGUUUUGGAUGUUUUUUUUUUCUCGUUUCUGGAAUAGACACUAAGUUCUAUCGACACUAGCAAGUACCUCCUCGUCAAUACUCUGUGUUGCUGUUCCUUACCUCCCGAGGAUUGGGAAGAUCGGAGGAUACGUACCUGGCUCUCUCAUCAUCAACCUCACCAGGAUUUUGGAGAAGCCACAGGCCUACUUUUGUAGAAACGCCAGGUUUUUAUAAUAAAAUUUGAAUUUUCAAUCCUUUUAAAUAAUAGUUUUCAAUUUUCAAUUUUUUUUCAAUAACUCAAAUACAUAACCUUAAUAAUAAUAUAAAUUCACCUUCUUAAACCCUAUUAUCUUUAUAAUAUUCAAUAAUUUUUUUUUGUCAACGAAUUUUAUAUUUCAUUUUCAUGAUUGUAUCAGGUAUUUAAAAUAAUCUCAGGAUUGUAAACUAUCUGGGACGAUACUGUGCACACUAUCGAAGGGUUUAUUUCCUACUCAAUAAUAUUUAUUCCAUUCACCAGAUAUUGUCAGGUUGUCACUUCCGAUCAGAUACGGGAUUGUCGGCCAAUCUUGUAUUCUACAGUAAUAAUUAGUUUGUACAUGCAUAUUUAGAUCAAAUCACUUCCUUAGUAGAAUAAAUUCAUUACAUAUAUUAGUUUUUUCAUACUGUAAAACCUGCAUUAUCGACAGGAGUGUACUACCAUAGUACGUCGGAUAUUUAGCUAGUGUAUAAAAUUGUAUAUAGGGUUUAUAGGUAUUUUUUUUUAUUAAAUGUGGUUGUACAUA